rnacentral:rRNA from 1 species
GGACUACCCGGGUAUCUAAUCCUGUUUGCUCCCCACGCUUUCGUGCCUCAGUGUCAGUAUUGAUCCAGAAAGUCGCCUUCGCCACUGAUGUUCCUCCCGAUAUCUACGCAUUUCACCGCUACACCGGGAAUUCCACUUUCCUCUAUCAUACUCUAGACGUCCAGUAUCGGAUGCAGUUCCCAGGUUAAGCCCGGGGCUUUCACAUUCGACUUAAACGUCCACCUACGCACGCUUUACGCCCAGUAAUUCCGAUUAACGCUCGCACCCUCUGUAUUACCGCGGCUGCUGGCAC